AGAGUUUGAUCAUGGCUCAGAUUGAACGCUGGCGGCAGGCCUAACACAUGCAAGUCGAGCGGAUGAAGGGAGCUUGCUCCUGGAUUCAGCGGCGGACGGGUGAGUAAUGCCUAGGAAUCUGCCUGGUAGUGGGGGAUAACGUCCGGAAACGGGCGCUAAUACCGCAUACGUCCUGAGGGAGAAAGUGGGGGAUCUUCGGACCUCACGCUAUCAGAUGAGCCUAGGUCGGAUUAGCUAGUUGGUGGGGUAGAGGCCUACCAAGGCGACGAUCCGUAACUGGUCUGAGAGGAUGAUCAGUCACACUGGAACUGAGACACGGUCCAGACUCCUACGGGAGGCAGCAGUGGGGAAUAUUGGACAAUGGGCGAAAGCCUGAUCCAGCCAUGCCGCGUGUGUGAAGAAGGUCUUCGGAUUGUAAAGCACUUUAAGUUGGGAGGAAGGGCAGUAAGUUAAUACCUUGCUGUUUUGACGUUACCAACAGAAUAAGCACCGGCUAACUUCGUGCCAGCAGCCGCGGUAAUACGAAGGGUGCAAGCGUUAAUCGGAAUUACUGGGCGUAAAGCGCGCGUAGGUGGUUCAGCAAGUUGGAUGUGAAAUCCCCGGGCUCAACCUGGGAACUGCAUCCAAAACUACUGAGCUAGAGUACGGUAGAGGGUGGUGGAAUUUCCUGUGUAGCGGUGAAAUGCGUAGAUAUAGGAAGGAACACCAGUGGCGAANGCGACCACCUGGACUGAUACUGACACUGANGUGCGAAAGCGUGGGGAGCAAACAGGAUUAGAUA
rnacentral:rRNA from 1 species